UGGGGAAUUGUUCGCAAUGGGCGCAAGCCUGACGACGCAACGCCGCGUGGAGGAUGAAGACCUUCGGGUCGUAAACUCCUUUCGAUCGAGACGAAUGUUUUUCGGGUGAACAAUCCGGAAAAGUGACGGUACCGAGAGAAGAAGCCCCGGCUAACUCUGUGCCAGCAGCCGCGGUAAUACAGGGGGGGCAAGCGUUGUUCGGAAUUACUGGGCGUAAAGGGCUCGUAGGUGGCCAACUAAGUCAGACGUGAAAUCCCUCAGCUUAACUGGGGAACUGCGUCUGAUACUGGAUGGCUUGAGUUUGGGAGAGGGAUGCGGAAUUCCAGGUGUAGCGGUGAAAUGCGUAGAUAUCUGGAGGAACACCGGUGGCGAAGGCGGCAUCCUGGACCAACACUGACACUGAGGAGCGAAAGCCAGGGGAGCAAACGG
rnacentral:rRNA from 1 species